rnacentral:rRNA from 1 species
AGCUAUAUGUAUUAAUAUAUAGUUAUUUCUGCUCCAUGAAUAUUAAAUAGCCGCAGUACCCUGACUGUGCAAAGGUAGCAUAAUCAGUUGGCUUAUAAUUGAAGUCUGGUAUGAACGAAAAUAUGGGUGGCAGCUGUCUUAAUAUAUUUUAUUAAACUUAUUGAGCAAGUGAAAAUGCUUGUGCUAAUAUAAUAGACGAGAAGACCCUAGAAACUUGAAAUGGGUUUUGUUGGGGCGACAUGAUUACACAAAACUAAUCUUAUGGUACAUGACAUAUGUUUGCACGAUUAAGUUACUCUAGGGAUAACAGCAUAAUUUUAAUAGUUUGUGACCUCGAUGUUGGACUAGGUAUUAUAUCCUUUAGGCAAGGAUAUAAAAUGCUCUGUUCGAGCAGUUAUACCUACAU